AAUUUCAAAGCAUCAUGUACAAGAAAGAACAAGCCAAUUUAUAGGGGGCAAACUGGCACAUUUCCAAAACUUUUAAGACGUCUCGGGGAUAAUAUAGUGAUUUCAUACUACAUUCAUGUCACUAAUCAAUCUCACCACCGUAUGUCCUUUCAUCUACCUCCUAAAUCUCUAAAGAACCAGAUGAUCGGUCCAUCCCCUUUUCAUGAACCUUCAAUCGCUCGUGCGGUGAAGAUUGUGGAUGAGAGCAACGCAGACGGUCUGAACAGGUUCUGGUUAUUGGGGUUGGAGUAUGACGGCCGAGUUAUUGGAUUGGACUAGCCGAUUGAUUUUGUAAACGCCGGAUGAGAGAAGAUAUGCACCGUUUGGUAAUACAGGAGGGUCACAUUCAAAGGCAUUUUUGGAGUUUAUAUGGAGGCUCUUAUGAAUGCUAUUGUCAAGCCAGAGUAUCUAAAGCAUCAAGACGAACAAGUUAAGCUUCUUGUUGCACUUGUGAGAUACCAAGAAUUGCUGCCCCUGAAGCUCCAUAUGAAAAUGAAGGUAUUUUUUUUCCUUUACGUGACUAUAUGUUUGAUAAUAAGUGCUCAAAUUUACACAAUUAUGGUCUUCUUUUUUCUUUAUGGUACUAACUGUGUUUUUUUUCAUUUGCUUUGAGGACAUCAUUCAUUUGUUUGUAAGUACUUUUUAGGGUUAAAAGAUACUAAAGACCCAUCUUUUGGAAGGAUAGUUAACAUACCAGAGACCGUUGAAAAGUACAUAUCAUUUGCUGUGACGUUGGAUCUCGAGUGUGAUGAUGUAGUGAAUGAAAUAUUUAAAACUGUUUUCAAUGUUGCCUGGUUAAGUUUUUUUAACUUUAAUAAAGUAUAGAAUGAUAAGUGGGAUAUAUAACAGACUGAUUUGUUUUGUUUUCGUACACGAGCAUACUGAAAUUGUUACUGUGGUGGUGGAGACAAUAAUGACGUUUUUUUAAGAAAGUGAGGACAUUGGGGAGGACCUUUUACUCAUUUUCUAUCUGUUUUAGGCCGUGAUAAGUAAAAAAAUACUCAACUUCAUUUCUUAGGAUAUAAGUGUUGACGGGAGAUGGUGUGAACGAUGCACCAGCACUCAAGCGAGCAGACAUCGGUAUAGCAGUGGAUGACUCCACAGACGCUGCCAGGAGUGCCGCCGGAGAAAGGUGGACGAGGCACAGUUUCUUCACGGUGCUAAGGUGCUUCUCUUUCACACUUUUUCUAAACUAUUUUUGAUAUUUUACAUAUUAUAUUCUUUCUCUUGCAUUGUGUUGAUGGGUUCACAUUGCUUUCUCUUAUGCUCUCUCAUGAUGUAAUAGGAGAAAACAAGUAAGUUUUGGUACCAUCAUUCAAUUGAAGGCCAACUUAAAUGUCAGUUCAUCUGUAGAUUUUAAACGGUAUGGUGUUAAAACAAAUUAUCGGAUAAACAAUUAUGCAUAGUUAUUAAAGGCGCUAGGCGCACUCAAGGCGCAUAGGCCUUGCCUGGGGCCUAGGCGCAAAGCCAAAAAAAAGCAAGUGCCUGAGAAAAAUAAAGCGCAUAAGGAAAAAAAUUAAAAGUAUAUUAUGUAUUAGAAAAAGAAUACUAUUCUUUAAAUAAAAUAAACAAAAUCUAUUAUAUAACACUAUAUAUCAUUUAUUUAGUACCAAAAGUUCUAAAAUAUUAGUGAAUUAGUGUAGAAACGUAGUUUUCCUUGGAUAAAAGUACGGAUCUGACUAGAAUCUUGCCGGAAUUUAGAAAAUUUGGCCGGAUGCUCUCCGGGAUCUAGGAAUCUCGCCGGAAUGUGCACCUAAACCAUCAUCUGGAGAAUUAAAGCGCAAUUUCCUCGACUUAAAGCGCAACUUCCUCACCUCGCCUGAAAAAUGGGCGUAGGCGAGAGAGGCGAUGGCUUUUAACAACUAUGCAAUUAUGAAUGUUUUAUAGUUGUUUUUUUAUUGAAGCAUUUUUUUAAAAUCGAUUUAGUCGCUUUUUAAAUAGAUAAGCGAUCUAUAUAGCUGUUUAGAUAGUGUGAUCUUAAGUAAUUAAUUAACAGUUGAUUCACUAUGAACCAAACCUUUUUAUGAUUGUUUAUAGUUAUCUCCAAUUUAUUUGGGAGGGAUUUGUUUGAUAGAAAUUAGAUAAGCCUCUGGCCUGCAAUCCUGCAUCACAGGUGGUUUAAAUAAUUUUUCAAUUUACAAAAUUGAAGUGUCAUAAAAUGCCUAAGCAUGUGUAAAGAGCUUUCAGAACAUGAUCAUCCCUGUCAUCCCUGUUUCUGAAAUGAAAACUAGGGUUUAAAGGGCGGGUUUUUUCAUAGGUUUGGAAUUCAGAAUCAAACUUAAUCCUUUCUUAGCUGAAAAUUAGAGUCUAAAAGGCUGUGAUUUUUAAAGAUUUUAUAACUUAUUAUAUGUGCAUGAUUUGAACAGAAACAACUGAGAAGAGACAUUACAGAGGCGUAAGUAGGGAUGAGCACGGUACUCGUUUGGGACCGAACUGGUAAUGGUACCGAAAGUACCGGUACCGAAAUACAGGGAAAAUUGGUACCGGUACGAAUAUACCUGGUACCGGUACCCGAUACCAAAUGAUCAUCCCUAGGCGUAAGACAAAGGCCAUGGGGAGUUACAAUAGUUCGUUUGCAUAUUGAUUCAUGUUUGUUUUUUAUAUAAGUUAAGUACUAGAACACAAAAAAUUGGCAUACUGUUUCCUUUAAACAACUCGAUUUUAGGCAGUGAUAGUGAAAAAAGAGAAAAAAAAAAUGGUUCAUAAAGUUGAUUUGGUAAUCUUUGGAGUCUCUGUGGGUCUGGUUGUUGGCUAUCUGAUAUAUGAGUGCAUUUUGUGUUUUAUUAUAGAAACAUAUGAUGCCCACUAACUCUGUCUUAAAAAACCUGAUAUGUGCGUAUUCAUUGUUUGCCUUUUCUUCUGUUGUGCACGGCUGUCUGCGGAUGCAGCCAGGGUUCAUGGUUUGGUUGGUGAUGCACUCGCUCAGCUCAUUCAAGAUUUAUCUUCUGUUGAGAAAGUGAUGCGUGUUUAUAGAGAUAAAUGUGCAGGUCCUGAAAGAAUGGGGAUAAAACAAGGUUUGAUCGCGGGGGCUGGGUUUGGAGUAUCGUGUUUCUUACUUUUUGUGUGUAUGCAGCCAGCUUUUACGCCGGAGCUUGGCUUGUUGAGGCGGGAACAACUACAUUCCCUAAAGUUUUUCGGGUAUUCUAUGCUUUGACGAUGGCAGCAAUGGCCUUGGUUGUAGAUAUUGAUUAUGUCGUCAUCCAAAUAUAGAGAAUAGAUGUAUAGAAAGAAUGACAUCCACAGAUAUCUUAGCAUUGAUGGAAGGUUUUCAAAGUGUAUGGUGCUUAGAAACACUAUUUUUUUUUGUUUUCUCUUUUGUUUUGCUAAUGGUACCGUAUUUGAUCAAAAUUGGUGUUGUUCUUUACAGUA